UACAGGGGGUGCAAACGUUGCUCGGAAUUAUUGGGCGUAAAGAGCUCGUAGGCGGUUUGUUGCGUCGGCUGUGAAAUCCCGAGGCUCAACCUCGGGUCUGCAGUCGAUACGAGCAAACUAGAGUGUUGCAGGGGAGACUGGAAUUCCUGGUGUAGCGGUGAAAUGCGUAGAGAUGCGGAGGAACACCGAUGGCGAAGGCAGCCCCCUGGGCCAACACUGACGCUCAGGCACGAAAGCGUGGGGAGCAAACAGG
rnacentral:rRNA from 1 species